CAUGUAGGUGGCUUACUAAGUCGACCGUGAAAUCCCUUGGCUUAACCAAGGAACUGCAGUCGAAACUGAUAAGCUUGAGUGUAGAAGAGGAAAGCGGAAUUCCCGGUGUAAGAGUGAAAUCUGUAGAUAUCGGGAGGAACACCAGUGGCGAAGGCGGCUUUCUGGUCUACAACUGACACUGAAAUGCGAAAGCUAGGGGAGCAAACAGGAUUAGAUACCCUGGUAGUCC
rnacentral:rRNA from 1 species